GUGUGUGUGUGUGUGUAGAUGAAUAUGAAGACUGUAAGGAGUGUGUGUGUGUGUGUGUGUGUAGAUGAAUAUGAAGACUGUAAGGUGAGUGUGUGUGUGUGUGUGUGUGGAUGAAUAUGAAGACUGUAAGGUGUGUGUGUGUGUGUGUGUGUGUGUGUAGAUGAAUAUGAAGACUGUAAGGUGAGUGUGUGUGUGUGUGUGUGGAUGAAUAUGAAGACUGUAAGGAGUGUGUGUGUGUGUGUAGAUGAAUAUGAAGACUGUAAGGUGUGUGUGUGUGUGUGUGUGUGUGUAGAUGAAUAUGAAGACUGUAAGGAUUGUGUGUGUGUGUGUGUAGAUAAAUAUGAAGACUGUAAGAAUUGUGUGUGUGUGUGUGUGUGUGUAGAUGAAUAUGAAGACUGUAAGGUGUGUGUGUGUGUGUGUGUUUGUGUGU
ensembl:lncRNA